rnacentral:rRNA from 1 species
AGAGACAGCAGCCGCCGCGGGAACACGUAGGUGGCGAGCGUUGUCCGGAAUUAUUGGGCGUAAAGGGAGCGCAGGCGGACAUAUAAGUCCAUCUUAAAAGUGCGGGGCUCAACCCCGUGAGGGGAUGGAAACUGUAUGCCUUGAGUGCAGGAGAGGAAAGCGGAAUUCCCAGUGUAGCGGUGAAAUGCGUAGAUAUUAGGAGGAACACCAGUGGCGAAGGCGGCUUUCUGGACUGUAACUGACACUGAGGUACGAAAGCGUGGGGAGCAAACAGGAUUAGAUACCCCCGUAGUCCCUGUCUCUUAUACC